UACGAAGGGGGCUAGCGUUGCUCGGAAUCACUGGGCGUAAAGCGCACGUAGGCAGAUUGUUAAGUCAGGGGUGAAAUCCUGGAGCUCAACUCCAGAACUGCCUUUGAUACUGGCGAUCUUGAGUCCGGGAGAGGUGAGUGGAACUGCGAGUGUAGAGGUGAAAUUCGUAGAUAUUCGCAAGAACACCAGUGGCGAAGGCGGCUCACUGGCCCGGUACUGACGCUGAGGUGCGAAAGCGUGGGGAGCAAACAGG
rnacentral:rRNA from 1 species